rnacentral:rRNA from 1 species
UACAGAGGGUGCGAGCGUUGUCCGGAAUCACUGGGCGUAAAGGGCGCGUAGGUGGCCUGAUAAGUAGGGGGUGAAAUCUCGAGGCUCAACUUCGAGGCUGCCUUCUAAACUGUCGGGCUUGAGCAGAGUAGAGGCAGGUGGAAUUCCCGGUGUAGCGGUGGAAAUGCGUAGAGAUCGGAAGGAGACACGGUGGCGAAGGCGG